rnacentral:rRNA from 1 species
UUAUCGUUUAUUUGAUAGUACCUUACUACUUGGAUAACCGUGGUAAUUCUAGAGCUAAUACAUGCUAAAAACCCCAACUCACGAAGGGGUGUAUUUAUUAGAUUAAAAACCAAUGCCCUUCGGGGCUCUUUGGUGAUUCAUAAUAACUUUUCGAAUCGCAUGGCCUUGCGCCGGCGAUGGUUCAUUCAAAUUUCUGCCCUAUCAACUUUCGAUGGCAGGGUCUUGGCCUGCCAUGGUUACAACGGGUAACGGAGGGUUAGGGCUCGACCCCGGAGAAGGAGCCUGAGAAACGGCUACUACAUCCAAGGAAGGCAGCAGGCGCGCAAAUUACCCAAUCCCGAUUCGGGGAGGUAGUGACAAUAAAUACUGAUACAGGGCUCUUUUGGGUCUUGUAAUUGGAAUGAGUACAAUUUAAAUCCCUUAACGAGGAACAAUUGGAGGGCAAGUCUGGUGCCAGCAGCCGCGGUAAUUCCAGCUCCAAUAGCGUAUAUUAAAGUUGUUGCAGUUAAAAAGCUCGUAGUUGAACCUUGGGCCUGGCUGGCCGGUCCGCCUCACCGCGUGCACUGGUUCGGCCGGGCCUUUCCCUCUGGGGAACCCUAUGGUCUUCACUGAUCGUAGCGGGGAACCAGGACUUUUACUGUGAAAAAAUUAGAGUGUUCAAAGCAGGCCUAUGCUCGAAUACAUUAGCAUGGAAUAAUAAAAUAGGACGUGUGGUUCUAUUUUGUUGGUUUCUAGGACCGCCGUAAUGAUUAAUAGGGACAGUCGGGGGCAUCAGUAUUCAAUUGUCAGAGGUGAAAUUCUUGGAUUUAUUGAAGACUAACUACUGCGAAAGCAUUUGCCAAGGAUGUUUUCAUUAAUCAGGAACGAAAGUUAGGGGAUCGAAGACGAUCAGAUACCGUCGUAGUCUUAACCAUAAACUAUGCCGACUAGGGAUCGGACGGUGUUAUUUU